CCUGGAUCAUCUCAAGAACAAAGAUCUGAAGGAGAUCAACCACCAUUGGAAGAAGUUGCAGGGGCGAUGUCUUGACUUUGACUACAAAAAGAAAAAGCAAGCAAAAGAUUGGUGGGUUGGGUAAGAUCAAGACCAACACAAUCAUCA